rnacentral:rRNA from 1 species
UACGGAGGGUGCGAGCGUUGUCCGGAAUCAUUGGGCGUAAAGGGCGCGUAGGUGGCCCGGUCAGUCUUUGGUGAAAGCGCGGGGCUCAACCCUGCGUCGGCCAGGGAUACUGCCGCGGCUCGAGCACUGUAGAGGCAGGCGGAAUUCCGGGUGUAGCGGUGGAAUGCGUAGAGAUCCGGAAGAACACCGGUGGCGAAGGCGGCCUGCUGGGCAGUUUAGCUGACACUGAGGCGCGACACGUGGGGAGCAAACAGG